rnacentral:rRNA from 1 species
GAUGAACGCUGGCGGCGUGCUUAACACAUGCAAGUCGAACGGAAAGGCUCCUGCUUGCAGGGGUACUCGAGUGGCGAACGGGUGAGUAACACGUGGGUGAUCUGCCCUGCACUUCGGGAUAAGCCUGGGAAACUGGGUCUAAUACCGGAUAGGACGAUGGUUUGGAUGCCAUUGUGGAAAGUUUUUCGGUGUGGGAUGAGCUCGCGGCCUAUCAGCUUGUUGGUGGGGUAAUGGCCUACCAAGGCGUCGACGGGUAGCCGGCCUGAGAGGGUGUACGGCCACAUUGGGACUGAGAUACGGCCCAGACUCCUACGGGAGGCAGCAGUGGGGAAGAUUGCACAAUGGGCGCAAGCCUGAUGCAGCGACGCCGCGUGGGGGAUGACGGCCUUCGGGUUGUAAACUCCUUUCGCUAGGGACGAAGCGUUUUGUGACGGUACCUGGAGAAGAAGCACCGGCUAACUACGCG